AUUGAACGCUGGCGGCAGGCCUAACACAUGCAAGUCGAGCGGCAGCGGGAAAGUAGCUUGCUACUUUUGCCGGCGAGCGGCGGACGGGUGAGUAAUGCCUGGGAAAUUGCCCAGUCGAGGGGGAUAACAGCUGGAAACGACUGCUAAUACCGCAAACGCCCUACGGGGGAAAGCAGGGGACCUUCGGGCCCUGCGCGGUUGGAUAUGCUCAGGUGGGAUUAGCUAUUUGGUGAGGUAAUGGCUCACCAAGGCGACGAUCCCUAGCUGGUCUGAGAGGAUGAUCAGCCACACUGGAACUGAGACACGGUCCAGACUCCUACGGGAGGCAGCAGUGGGGAAUAUUGCACAAUGGGGGAAACCCUGAUGCAGCCAUGCCGCGUGUGUGAAGAAGGCCUUCGGGUUGUAAAGCACUUUCAGCGAGGAGGAAAGGUUGAUGCCUAAUACGUAUCAACUGUGACGUUACUCGCAGAAGAAGCACCGGCUAACUCCGUGCCAGCAGCCGCAGUAACAC
rnacentral:rRNA from 1 species